GUGUGUGUGUGCGUGGUCACCAAGCAAUCCCUUUUGGUUCUUUGAUGACCCCUAGGGAACCAUAUCCAUUCAAUCUCUCUGAGGGCACCGUUUACCCCCAGAAAGGGGGAGAGAGAGAGAGAGAGAGAGAGAGAGAGAGAGAGAGAGAGAGAGAGAGAGAGAGAGAGAGAGAGAGAGAGAGAGAGAGAGAGAGAGAGAGAGAGAGAGAGAGAGAGAGAGAGAGAGAGAGAGAGAGAGAGAGAGAGAGACGGUCCAGUGGUGCAUUUUCCUGCUCUGCUCCUUCACCCCCCCUCCUCCGCCCUCCAGCUCACAGCUUAAGUGCAGGAUGCACGUCCUGGAUAUGCGACGGGAAAGAGAAAAAAAGAAAUAACACAAAACGUGUGACAAAUCUCUGGGCGUGCACAUCUCUACCUCUGUGAGGUGUGAGGAGAGAACAACGGGGCUGUCACCGUCUUCUCACCGCUUCUUCUUCUCUUGCUCUAACCCCAUUCUGUCUCAUUCUCGCUCCCUCCUACGCCAUUAACCGCCACUUAGCUCUUCCUUCUCCCUCUUCUAUUCGCUCUUUUCUUUCGGCUGCAUGUUUAUUAUUCAUUCGUUCAUCGGGAUUGUCGCCGGCGGCUGUAAUGCCAUGUUAUAGAUAUGUCGGCCGGUCUUUGGAACCACUUGCUUUUAGUCUCGUGUAUGCGUGGCGUGAGGCCGUUUCCAUGGAGGUGCGCUGUGUCCUGUGUGUUGCAGGGAAGCGUGUUCACCAGUCGAGGGGUUUGACUGCUGGAUGGUUCUGCCUGUGCGUCUCAUGAACGACCCAGGCUCCGCCUGACUGGAGAUAGCCUCACUGUGGGUGUGGGUGGGUGUGGGUGUGCGAGCAUGCGCCUCUGGGUGCCUUUCGCAAUGGUGUUGUUUCUGUUGACAUUUGUUGAAGCAACAGACUGCUCUGAUUUGUGAUGUGAAGGACACGCACGCACGCACGCACACACUGUGAUAUGUGUGUGUCUGUGUGUGUGCGUGCUCAUGCAUGUAUGUUAUUGGCACACACACACACACACACACUGUAAUUGAUCUGUUAUCUCCUAACAAUAAUUUAGAACCUCACUUAACAUGUCAUCUUUGGCUCCUAUUCAAGACGCAGCCACACACACACAUUCUCAGCGGUAACCAAGCCUUAAGCGCUCCAAUAACUGCCGGUGUGUCUCUCUUUCAACACUUUCACAGUGGUCUCUUAAACACCUUUGGCACAAACCUAGUCUCUCUCACUCCCUCUGCCUCCCUCUGUCUGUCUAUCUCCCUCUCCCCGUCCCUCGGUGUGGUGUUAUGGACAGAAAGCAGCAUUGAGGCGGCACUGCCCUCUCGCUCCAAUAAAGUCUUAUCUAAUCAGCAGUCUGGACCUUGGAACCAUGGCCUGUUCCGCUCAACGCACAGUCCAUACGGCGACUGACAUGUAGGAUAUGCGGCCUGCCUGCAGGAGUCAUGGGAGAGAGAGAGAGAGAGAGAGAGAGAGAGAGAGAGAGAGAGAGAGAGAGAGAGAGAGAGAGAGAGAGAGAGAGAGAGAGAGAGAGAGAGAGAGAGAGAGAGAGAGAGAGAGAGAGAGAGAGAGAGAGAGAGAGAGAGAGAAUAUAAUGUUAGGAGUUAUUAGUGGAUAGGUCGGGUAAAUGUUUGAAGGGGGUGUAGGACAGCUAGAGGUGAUGUGAACUGGCCGCAUUCAUUAAACACCUUUUGUUGUGACUGUGGGUGUCCAGAUGCACUUUGGACAAGGAAGGGACUUUCCGUUCUGCAUACUGAUUCACCAGCUUUCUGUCUUUUAACAGGAUUUCAGUUAACGUGAUUUCAGACUGUCCAAUGUAUUCCACUCCUAUCAUGUGUGUGUGUGUCUGUGGACCCCCCCCCCGACCUACUCUCCCAAACUCAAACUGAUUCUUCACAUGGCAUCAUUUACACACCACCAAUGAUCCGUGACCAUUGAGAGGUCACAGAUGGGAGGGGACACACACACACACACACACACACACACACACACACACACACACACACACACACACACACACACACACACACACACACACACACACACACACUCGCAGACACACCAUUUCUCAAACAUUCCCACCAAGGCUCCCCCACUCACAUAUGCUCACACACAUUCAUUCACAUUCACACUGAUGCUCUCUCACAUUCACACACACACACACACACACACACACACACACACACACACACACACACACACACACACACACACACACACACACACACACACACACACACACACUCUAAAUGUUACCUGAACUGGAAAAUGUUACCCCAUGUCCUCCAGAAAGCCAGUGUGGACGAAGCACUCUGCCCCCACGCACACAGCUCCCAACAACCUUCACAGCCAGUGUCCUAGACUGUGUAACACAGUGAGAGCUAAUGAAAAUGUUAGUUGACAUUAACUUACUCAAGGUUAAUGGUGCUGGUGAUCGGAGACGAAGGGUGCGUUUUCUUCUUCCAUUGAUCCACAGAGCACAGAGGCUUAAUCUAGAGUCUUCCUGGCUAGGGAGGGUUACACUAAUGCACAUUAACAAUAUUGUUUUUUGGCUGAGAAGUUAGGAUGACUACACCCAUUGAAAAGAUGAUGUAUUUACUGUGAUUUGAUACAGAUUGGAUUAAGUGAUCUUUAACCAUGAGUUAAACCCAGAGCUGUUUCCAGUGAAAGGCUAUCUUCUGUCUCCACGUGUUAUCGAUAACAAACCAUGAUAUCAUAUCACGUUAGAGCGUCCCACCCAACUGCUGUCCCAUACUUGGACACUCCCAGGUAAUAUCGUCAUCAGUUUUGUCAGCAUAAGCUAUUUGCGGCGAUUAGCUAUUCAUUAACAAGUCAUUUACCAGAGCGAGAACAGAUGUCAAGUUGAACUCUCUUUAGAAAUGCAGUCCUGAGGAAGAAAACGGGAUUAUUCAUUCCUGUGCGGUCUCUCAGGAUUGGCAGUAAUUAAGUAGCAGAGAGAAGGUUCAAUUAACAUCAAGGAUGGCGCUCAGACACUCGCCGCUACAGUCAGAUAUUAGGACCCCUGGGGCCUAGAUUAAGAUUGGGCUACGCUACAAAGUGUAUGUGCGUGUCUGUGUGUGCGUGUGCGUGUUUGUGUUUGUGUGGGUGGGUGGCUUUAUCGGAUUAUGUAUGUGAACCUAUAUAGUUACUCUGUUUAAUUUGUUUCUCUAGAGCUCACAUCAUAUUCGACUUCCCAUGUUGUGUAUUUAUACUUCCCCUCCUCUCUCCUGCUGCCACUUCCUCUCACUCUUCUAUCCAUUUUUGUUUCUUGAUCUCAUCCUCUUCCCCAUGACCGUCUCCCCUGUAGUCGUGUCGACCUCCAUUCCCCACAACCCUCUCUCUCUCUCUCUCGCUCUCUCGCUCUCGCUCUCUCUCGCUCUCGCUCUCUCUCGCUCUCGCUCUCUCUCGCUCUCGCUCUCUCUCGCUCUCUCUCCAUCGCUCUCUCUAUCUCUCUAUCGCUCUCUCUCUCUCUCUCUCCUUUUCUCCCUUUCUCCCCCCAGUCUCAGGAAUGUACUAAAUGUCCUUAUCUUUGCCCAUGCAAACACAGGGCGAGCCAGCUUAGAGGUCAAAUUCCACUCUCCCCAAUCCCAGGCAGACAGACUGCAUGCUGGCAUGUAGACUGCCCGCAACAAGAUCGUCUCCUUACAGAGACAAGAAUAAUAGUAGUAAUAAUAAUAAGACAAAUUCUAAUUCCAGUAACUGGGUUGGGGUGAGUGACCCUCCAUCCCCCACAACAUCAUUCUGUCCACACACAGAAACCCUCUGUCCCUUGAAUCUCAGCAGCCAGUAUUUGAGACAGGAUGUGAUGCAAAUAACAGAGUAUGUGAUGGAUAUAUGACCACCAAGUAUAUAUUUUGGUGGUAUUCACGUAUGUUUAUUUGCGUUUUCACAUGAAUCUCACUCGUAUAAAAGCAAAACACUUUGGCUGGCUUCAACCGUUCAGGGAACCUUCAUAUAGUAGAUUUUCGUGUGCCAGUGCAGUCUAGCAGGAGAGACUUAACAGACUUGAUUAGGAAUAUGUCACUAAACAGUUAGGCUAAAAAGGAAUGGUAGAAUGGCGAUGAGCACAUCGCCAUUCUACCAAGGUCACAUACUGACCUUAACCACACAUCUCAAAUCUUAGGAAAAAACACAACCACUUUGAACAAACACCACUGCGAAACGAAUACUAUGACCAUUUUAGCCAACAUCGUAACUUAAAUAUCGCAAAGCUAAUGCCUGACAUUAAACAUUACUAACUAUGACCAUAUCUUAACCACUAUCACUAAGCUAAUAACUAAACCUGACCUUUUCCUACCAAAUCUUUAACGUAACCUUUGCAAAGCUAAUUCCUAAACAAAACCAUUUCUAACUUGCCACUAAGGUUGUUUGAAAUAUCUCCCCGGCCGCUAUCAGGUAUGCCACUUGGCUAAACAAACAUAGGUACCUAAAUUCCAGUCGUAUGAUACUCUUUUUGCAGGCUACUUUCAAAAGACACGUGUUAAGUGUCGCGUUUCAAAUGUCCAUGGAGACACUUCUUCUGCUGUUAUGGUUAACUCUACGGUGGGUCCUAACAGAUGGAUCUACUUAUUGAGGACCUUAUUGAGACCUCAAAGGUAUCAUACAGUUGGAUCGUCCAAAACGAUAUGUUUACGGACCUCAUUUCUGUUCUACAUUUCUGUUGGUGAACAAUUGCGAAAUAACCUCUGCUGGAAUGUGGUGUUCGCUAUAUAUUUCAUACUGCCUACACCCUGUACGCCAAGGACAUCGGGAUGAAAUUCAAGAACUAUUUGAAAAUACACACACACACACACACACACUGUCACACUCUCACACACACACACACACACACACACUGUCACAUUCCAUCAUCACGCAGGCAUACAUUCACACAGACAGACCAUUACCGUUACACACACACAGGCGUUGUGUGUGCAUGGGUGUCGGUGUCACUGGAUUCUGUUGUUACACAUAACCAAAAUCAUCUGCUAGCGAGUGCGUCUGUGUGUGUGUGUGUGUGUGUGUGUGUGUGUGUGUGUGUGUGUGUGUGUGUGUGUGUGUGUGUGUGUGUGUGUGUGUGUGUGUGUGUGUGUGUGUGUGUGUGUGUGUGUGUGUGUGUGUGUGUGUGUGGAUUUGCCUCCAGACAUACACUGAGGUCUUUCAUAGCGCCCCACACAAUACUGAAACACAUGGAAUCCCACUGCUGUCUUGCGCCCGGCUUCACGUAUGUCUCUGCAUAACAUUGCAGUGACAAGGCACGGACAAAAGACAGCACUAUACUUUGUUAACAUGGACGCAAUUCUGGAUCUCCUCAGUGGUGUCAGACUUUCUCUGCCUGCACAUGCAGAGAAACACAUACGCACUCACUCACACAAUUCCGUCACACACACACACACACACACACACACACACACACACACACACACACACACACACACACACACACACACACACACACACACACACAAGUAAACAAACCCCACAGAAACGUACACACACACACACACGCGCGCACGCAGAAACGUAAACACCAAAAUAAACGCAAAAUCCCCUGACCAACAGGCUGGAGUUCUAUUUUUUUUCUUUGUCCUUGAUGUUGCUGAAUAUGCUUGUGUCACAUCACAGUGCUGCUAGAGUGACGUGUACCUCCAGUAUCUAAAGCCUUUUCCACAACGCCGUGAUGUCUCAGAUCAGCGUGAGAAGCCCUCGUUAAUAAUGCAGUCGUACCUCGACAGCGGCCUGCAGCGUAGGACAUACGCGUUGUUAUCAUGAUUGAUUUGUUACAGCCAUUCCUCGCACCCUCCUGCUCAAACAUCGUUUUCCUCACUCGGAUGUGCUUGCGCAUACUGUGGCUAUUGAUCCAACGACUGUAUUCUACGUUCAGCAAACGCAGCACGGUUUCCAUGCUUUGAACCUGAUUUUGUGUAGUUGCCUUUCCUUUUGUCGUCCUCGGCUCGGUUACCUUGUAGGUUUUUGUGACAAACCUGACCAAUAGAGGGGCAGGACAUAUAAGAAAUCCCAGCAAUACAUGUUUAACCAUCAUUGUGCAUCAAUACACGACGUUAUACCUAGUUACAUGCAGCCUGUUAGUAAGAAAUGCAGUGGCAUUUUAUCCUAUAAUAUCCCCUAUGUAUAAUCAAAUUUAAAGAUGGUGUUUCCGGCUCUUUGUGUAAUGUAUAGCGAUUUCCUGUGUCUUUGUUUAAGCACAUAUGGAGAUUCGUUUUAGGAUCAUUCUGUCACAUCCUAUUUCCUUCUCGAUGCAUGUUGAAGGCUUUAAAGCACAACAAUGGUUGUCCAGGAUGCACAGUCACAGAAAUACAAGUAGAAACCAAGACAUACCCAAAUGAGCAGCAUAUGGGCUGGCCCAGAGUCGACAUGGUUUAUUUUCUUAAUCCUUUAAAGGAAAGCAAUUUUUUUUUAAAAACCAACAGGUUUUAGUCUUGACAGAAUCUUCUGUUUCCAUACUUCAU